ensembl:lncRNA
AAAUGUAUUUGAUGUUUAUUGUAUUUUAUGUUUUUAGUAGUGAUUUUUAGAAGACAAGCCAAGAUAAGCCAGGUGUGCAGCAAACACAGUUGUCUGCUGGAGGACAGGCUGCACAUGUGAAUUUGUCACUGUUUUUUUCCUCCUCUUUUUGUUGCGUUUUUGGUUUUAGUAGGGUCACCUUUUAAAACUGUUUGUUUUUUAUGCUGGGUUUGUUUUUAUUUCUACUGGGCUGGUGCAAUAUUAGUCGGGCAACGUGCAAUCCCUGAGCUGGGCUCUUACCUUAGGGGAAUUAGGUCUUUUAGAGGUGCUCCGUGUGGAUUUGCUGUGAACAAGUUUUAUUAAGAGUGAUUUUAGUGCCACCGAUUAUUGCCUGGACUAAAACACUUAGUGCAUGCGAUAAGUGUUCUGUUGGGCUCGUAUUUAUUUGGGGUGGAUUUCUUUCUUUUAAAGUAACGAGCAUCUGGGACCACCGGGGUAGAGCAAGCCCUCAGGUGAUAGCUGCAUUGCUGGCAGGUUGCACCAAUAAAACUAUACUGCAGUCGUUAGUGACUUUUUCUCUAUUUUGAUGUUUUAGGCCUUUUACAAACCCCUUGUGUUUUCUUUUAAAAUAAUAAAUUUUGACAUAUUUGACUGAUAUUGACCCUCUUGUCCCGUUUAUUCUGGGCUCGUUCCUGUAAGAGCUUUGGGCCUGAAAGUUUGCACAAGUCGUAUAGAGGCCCUUAGCGAACACUCGGUGGC